rnacentral:rRNA from 1 species
CAAUAGCGUAUAUUAAAGUUGUUGCAGUUAAAAAGCUCGUAGUUGGAUUUGUGGUGUGUGCCUUGGCGUUGGGAUUAGUUUCCUUUUCUGCCUCGGCCGUGCCAUCCUUGGGUGGAAUCUGUGUGGCAUUAGGUUGUCGUGCAGGGGAUGCCCAUCGUUUACUGUGAAAAAAUUAGAGUGUUCAAAGCAGGCUUAUGCCGUUGAAUAUAUUAGCAUGGAAUAAUAAGAUAGGUCUUUGGUCCUAUUUUGUUGGUUUGCGGGCCGGAGAAAUGAUUAACAGGGACAGUUGGGGGUAUUCGUAUUCCAUUGUCAGAGGUGAAAUUCUUGGAUUUCUGGAAGACGAACUACUGCGAAAGCAUUUACCAAGGAUGUUUNCAUUAA